rnacentral:lncRNA from 12 species
GCGUGCUUUCUAAACUAGGAAUGAUGGCCAUCUGCAGGUAACUGAUUAUUGGUUCAGGACAAGGAACCAAGGAGUUCUAAUCAUCAUUCCUCUUCAUUCUCAUUAUUUUUUAGCUUUUCCACAUCAUUUUUAUCAUUUCUGGCAAAGUCCAGUGUUUCCAACAUUCCCAGAUUUGGUUGGUGAGCUACUCCCAAACGGAAAUACAGAACACACAAAGACUCCUCUCUGUAGAAUGAGAGUUCGAGUCUCCCAUUCUCUUACACAUUUUUUUUUUUUUGUCUGUUUAGCCUUUUAGGUGAUUUCAGACCUCACUAGACGCUUCACCAAGAAGAGGAAAAGUCAGCCAUGUGGGAAAGCUGAAAGCAGCCAGCGUUGCAGCUUGUGUGCAGCUUUGGGGACAGGACGGUAGUGACCUUGUUCAUCCCUUCCAGGUCCCACACCAGGAUCCGGCCUCAUUCACAGCACCCAACACUGCAGGCAGCACCCCGCACAUUCGAUCCUACCUCGUGCCCCCCGCAGGGCACCAUAGAAUCUUUUCUUGUCUAGCUCACAGGCCUUAAAGAUCCCAGGACCCCAGAACCAUCCAGCUCCAAGGGAUGGAGCUCAAAUCUCACUUUCUCCUCUGAAGUGAGCUUUCCUCAUAAAACCAAAUGAAGCCUCAUAAAAUAAUUUCUUUCCAUGACUCAAAAGAAGCAUCGCCGUAACACACCCAUAAAUCUGGCAAGCUCCCCCUUUUAAUCACGUCCCAUGAUAUAAGAGGCAAUUAUUUCUUUAAACCACCUCGUGUCUCUCCAAUGUGUUUACAAUGUGAGUCACUUCAUCCACUGUUAUACGCAGUAAUAAAAUAUUUGAGCAGAAAGAAAAAAAAGGAGGUUCCUCCUAUCUCCUGGAUGUUUCCCUCUGAAAAACUUGUUUCCACGGAGGCGCCUCCUCUGUAUCAUAACCAAGGGGUGGGGGGCAGUAACGUGCAUCCUAUUUAAGGGAGAAGAGCCAAUGAGAGAAGAGGAGGGAAGAAGGUACGUCACUUGGAUUGCUUGUGAAAGGCUCCCAUCCUGUGUGUUAACUUCUAAGGCAAGUGUGUCCAAAUUUAAUAUAUCUUUACAUAGAAUCAUAUAGUGAGAGGCUUUAAGAAAUCUGACCGAACACGUGCUGAGGUUUGCCAGUUCCCAAUAAGUUGGCAAAAGGAUGAGAACUCGGGAGAAUGCCAACAUUAAAGGUUAAAAAGGAGCAUGGGAUUUCCUGUGCUGGUAUUACCCAUGGUGUGGGGUACAGGGCAAUUGCUUGAUUUCUCAUUUGUUGAGGUGAUGACACCACCCGACUUCUGAAGCAGACGAGAAGGAAGAAGAGCGAAAAAGUGGGUGCUGCCCAUCUGGCGACGGGUGCACCCCGCAGAGCCUGCCACCGUCAGACGCUGCCCUUGAAGGUGACUUUCCAGUCCCCUGGCCCGGAGCUCCUGCUCGCCUUGUGUUAGGGGGAAACACAGUAACCAUGUCUCACGAUCCCCAGCUUCCUCUGCCCUGUACGCCCUGGGAUUUAGAGUCGAGAAGAGUCUGAGGAGCACACGUCAUUUGCUAAAAUUCUUCCAGGGGUUCACUAGGCCCUUUUCUUUCACUAGGUCCUCUGAGAUUUCCACUGAAGCCGGAGCCCUCAAAGAAAAGUUUGACCAAAAAGAACCAGCUGAUUCCGAUGCAUGAUGGCCAAGGGAGUUGGCAUCCUGAGGGAGCGCCACGGUU